GACGAACGCUGGCGGCGUGCUUAACACAUGCAAGUCGAACGGAAAGGCCCUGCUUUUGUGGGGUGCUCGAGUGGCGAACGGGUGAGUAACACGUGAGUAACCUGCCCUUGACUUUGGGAUAACUUCAGGAAACUGGGGCUAAUACCGGAUAGGAGCUCCUGCUGCAUGGUGGGGGUUGGAAAGUUUCGGCGGUUGGGGAUGGACUCGCGGCUUAUCAGCUUGUUGGUGGGGUAGUGGCUUACCAAGGCUUUGACGGGUAGCCGGCCUGAGAGGGUGACCGGCCACAUUGGGACUGAGAUACGGCACAGACUCCUACGGGAGGCAGCAGUGGGGAAUAUUGCACAAUGGGCGGAAGCCUGAUGCAGCACCGCCGCGUGCGGGAUGACGGCCUUCGGGUUGUAAACCGCUUUCGCCUGUGCCGAAGCGUGAGUGACGGUAAUGGGUAAAGAAGCACCGGCUAACUACGUG
rnacentral:rRNA from 1 species